rnacentral:misc_RNA from 1 species
GAAGAAGUACCCGUUUCUACUGGUCUCGGCUCUCCUGCUCAUCGUCUCCGUCGUCGGCGAGCCCAUCUACGAUGUCAACGGAGCCAAGCUCAGACGUGGGAGUGGCUACUACAUCCUCGGAUCGUCGGGGGAAGGUGCGAUCUCUUCCAUACAGCGUAAAGGCGAGCUCAUUGUGGCUCAGACGUCCAGCGACCUCGGCAAGGAUCUCGAACUCGCCUUCUACACCGCCAACUUCACCACUGAAGUGGAACUCCUGGGCUUUACAGAAAUCAUUUUUGUCCGUCCACCACCGUUCGAUCAUCCGGGGAGAUGGGAGGUCCCAGUCGCUGCCGACAGUGAUUCGGGGCGGCAAUAUGUGACGGUCAGCCCGUUCCCGGAGCUGGAGCCGAAGAACUGGUUCAAGAUCGGGAAGUUUGACGAUGCCUCCUACAAGCUGUUGUACUGCCCUAAUGCGACUCAGACCUCGACGUGCAGCGAUCUCGGCAUAUACGAGGAGGACGGGGAGAGGCUGUUAGGGUUGAGCAAUGAGCCAUUUGGGGUUGUAUUUGUCGAUUCUCUUAAAGUCAUUAAUCGGGCCUCUGAUUAGAUUUCUGCCUCUCGGUCCCCAUGCUGAAAUGUAACUGAAUAAGUGUUUUCAGUAUUGUACUGCAAUGUAGAUUCCAAUGGCACAAGCAACCAGAGAGGCCGAGAUCUGAUGGCAAAUAAGAAGUUGC